rnacentral:rRNA from 1 species
GGAUGAACGCUGGCGGCGUGCCUAAUACAUGCAAUUCGAGCGAACAGACGAGGAGCUUGCUCCUCUGACGUUAGCGGCGGACGGGUGAGUAACACGUGGAUAACCUCCCUAUAAGACUGGGAUAACUUCUGGAAACCGGAGCUAAUACCGUAUAAUAUAUUGAACCGCAUGGUUCAAUAGUGAAAGACGGUUUUGCUGUCACUUAUAGAUGGAUCCGAGCCGCAUUAGCUAGUUGGUAAGGUAACGGCUUACCAAGGCGACGAUGCGUAGCCGACCUGAGAGGGUGAUCGGCCACACUGGAACUGAGACACGGUCCAGACUCCUACGGGAGGCAGCAGUAGGGAAUCUUCCGCAAUGGGCGAAAGCCUGACGGAGCAACGCCGCGUGAGUGAUGAAGGUCUUCGGAUCGUAAAACUCUGUUAUUAGGGAAGAACAAAUGUGUAAGUAACUAUGCACGUCUUGACGGUACCUAAUCAGAAAGCCACGGCUAACUACGUG